UCCUCUGCCCUCAAUUCAACUUUAUCAGGAAGCUGCAACCCACAAUUCAAAUUUUAAAUUCAAAUCAAUCUCUCUCUCUCUCCCUCCCUCUUCUUUCACGUUCAUUUAACAUUCUUUCUCCUCCGUCCGUUUCUCUGCUUCAUCUCCGACCAGAUUCUAUUCCAUCACAAUCUUCAGUUGUGGUUAGAUGAUUUUUUGAAGUUUCUGGUCGAUGUGCAUCUACAUUAUUGUCAGAGGUAAAAGCUUAAUUUUCUUGGUAAUGAUACACAAAACAUAGAGCUUUGUUAAGCUUUCACGUGCAGUUCAUGGAGAAAAGGAAUUCAUUUGUGUGUUAUUUGGUGUUAAUGGUUCACAAACCGAGCGACGACAAAGAUCGAUGAAGCAGAGCACACAACUGCAGUGAAGAUAUUGCCGCUCAUGAAUUUGAGGAAAAGGUUCUACUAACCGAAAUUAAUUCAAGAUUUUUCAUUUUACUUGAGAAGAGACUUUUGGUUGUGGAAAAAUGAUUUGCUACACCGCUGCUACAAAUAUCAACUACAACUGCAGAAGUGAGAGAUGAUGACGGAGUUUGAAUGGUCACAUUUAGAGAUUAGAGAACAUGGAUGCUGUGAUGGAGCUCCUGCCUUAGAAAGAUAGACUUAAGAGUCUAUGGACGGUUCACAUACUAAUCAAAGCUUUAGGAAAUAUGUCCAGUUAAACAUAGGAAAGAGGUAGGAUGAAGGGAGGUUAGAAAGGGAGAUAGCAUCAACACAAAUUGCUAAAGAACAAUGAGAUCAUUUUGAGGACUAUAUUUAGUUUUAUAGUGUGUAUUAUUUCUUUGAAUUUCCUUUCCAUUACUUAAUUUCAUUUUAUUAUUACUACUACUUAAUUUCAUUUCAUUUUAUCAUUUUAAGGGGAAAAUUACAAUGACCUCGCCUAAAUUCUAUUGUAAUAGACACAAACCUCCUCUAAAGUCUAUUGAAUAGACAAACACCUCCCCUCUAAACUUACACCGUUUAUUAAUCUGUUAAUUUUAUUAUGAUGAUAAUCUAUCUCCACUGAAACCUUGAAUAUCGUACCAUUGUUCGAACCUUCUCAAAUCAUUUUUCCUAUUUUAACUCUACUAUUAUUAGUUUUCAAUUGAAGAAUAAUCAUCCUAUUUUAUGUUUAUGCGUAUUUUAAGUUUUUCAUAUAAUGUAUUGUUUUGAUGAAUU